UCUCAACAUGUAUGGGCUCACCAGGAGCCAUUUCAAUGAUGGCGGCAUCAUCAUAUUUCAAGAUUUUGGGGCCAUCUUCCAUUAGUUUCUCCCCAUAAAGGCAAUAAAUUUUCUUCUUCAGUUCAGCAAAGUUACAAGCAAUAACACCUGUCUCUAUUCAGCUCCCAAGCACGGGACCAAUAUCACCAAUCUUGCACAGUUUGGUGGCAGGGUGCAAUACAGAGCUUCAACCAACAUGGUUCCACUGGCAUUUCCAUCCUUACAGGUGAUUUUCCAUUCCUUGAACCAAGAUAUAGAUCCUGCUGAUUAUUGACAAAAUCUACUAUGAAGAGACUUAGAUCUGAUUAAAUGAAAAAAAAGACUGUUAUUCAUCAUAGUGAUGAUACAAUGUUGACAACUCAAUCUGAAGGUCAAGUGGACUGAAC
rnacentral:lncRNA from 12 species